UCUCUCUCUCUCUCUUUGAGAACAUGUCCUGUCAGGAUUCAGGUUCUCAGCUUUAAGCUCAUGAUGGGUUGAGUUAGUGUGUGUGUGAGUGUGUGUGUGUGUGUGUGUGUGAGUGUGUGUGUGUGUGUGUGUUUCUCCUCACAGCUGUCUUGUGUGUUUGGGUAAACACCACUUUCCUGUCAGAGAUGUUGUGCUAAGCUGAAGUUGGGUCGUGUAGACGGUGAUGUCUCGGGUGUGUAGACGGUGAUGUCUCGGGUGUGUUUAUGAACCGUGACGUACAGGAAUGUUCUCAAACAGCAUCUUUAACAGCGCGUCUCUUCUGACUUCUAAUGUCCAGAAAACUCCAGUACGUUUCUUUCUUUUCAAAUGACAGAUGUUAAAGUGUGAGGAAUUCAUCUGAGCACUGAAACGUACAUAUUUACACCUGAAAGGAGUCGAGAAAGGGGGAAAAAAACGACACAGGAAAGAUGUAGAGGUUUGGAAGCAUCUUUAAAAUAUAAUUUUGUCGUAAUUUAAAUCUAACAGCUUUUUAUUCAGUUGUUUAGUAAAUGUUUACAUUGUACAGUUAUGACAUUAUAAUGAUAUUGAUAUUAUAUUGCAUUUUAUAUACUUACAUAACACACACAUGCAUCACAGAGUACUGCGUUUACAUGUUUUUGGAGAAUUUAUUAAACGUCUACAAAGUAAAUUAAGCCUUGUUUGCUUUUUUUUUUUUUAAAUAAAUAUAUAAUAUAAUUACUUUUAAGAUUCGUUGAUAAAAACAUAAAUAUGUAGGACUGAAAAGUAGAGUUCCUUUCCUUUUUAAACGUUUUCAAAUCAGAUUAUAAUUCUAAAAAAAUAAACAAGCAAAACACCUUUGUAGUAAAAUUAAAAAAAAUUUUUCGUGAUGUGUAAGAAAAGUGUGCUGUGACGGUGUGUCACGAGAUUGAUCGUCUUUACAUUCAUCGGUCAGUUUAUAAUUAUCGAAAAAGAUCCUCAUUUAUUUGUAUUUACAAUUAUGUAAAAAAAAAUUUAUUUAAAAAAAGAAAAGUGUACGUUCACAGUUUAUCACGAUAUCAGUAUUUUAUCUUCAUAUUCAUCAGUCAGUUUGUAAUCAUUUAAAAAACAUGCUUGUGUUAUACAUACUUAUAAUUAUUAGAGAGAGAAUGACGAGGUGAGGGAGAGUGUUCUGUUUAAACCCCGGUCCGUUGUUUUUGUUUGUGUUUUGUUUCACGUUUCCGCGUCGCUGUCGCGACUCGACUGCCUCCGUGGAUUUAACCGUCAGAAACACGGGUGUAAAUCCACUGCGUUGUUUCUCUUAUCUGCCGCUGUGAGUUUCAGAGUGUACUCAGGUUCACGUGACGCGUUAUAAGCACACACAGGUGUUUUUUUUUUUUUUUUUUUAUGACUGGCACGUUGUUGUUGUUGUGGUGGAGGUGUGAGGUUGCAGUUAAUCAGGUUGUAAUCGUAUAUCAUCUUCAGCGUGUUGUGAAUGAAGCUCUGGGAGAGCAGGAUCUCAGUCAGAGCUCGUUACACCAGAGUUCUUCACUCCACACCGAGGGGAAGAUUAAAGCCCCGCUGCAUCUCCCUGAUCUCCUGAAGCAGUGUAACCCCGUGUUAAUACCAAGCAUCAUCACCUCUGUCUCAGCUGCUGGAUGUUUUCCAUCAGGAAGGUUUUAGAGCUCUGUAAACACAACGUCGAGUUCGUUAUCUCCGCGUAAAUGUGUUCUAGACGUACAGUUCCUACAUUAGUGUUGGGAUUGUGUGUUUAAAAUAAAUGUUCGAAAAAUGUAAAUGCUUUAUCCUAUGGCUUCUGACGUAUUGGGGAUGUUCUGAUUUUAAAAAGUGUAAUAAUCAUUUUUUAAACCUAAUCAGAAAACUGAUUUGAAGGAGCUGGAGUUAGUGUUGUAUUUUAAAUAUUUAAAAUUGGAAAUCUAGUGUCUUUAUUUAUAGAAAUCAUUCUUUAGAUGUAAAACAAAUACAUUUAUGAUAUUUGACUUUAUUAAUAAUUAUUUAUUUGUUUUUUAAAACUGUAUCUGGGCCAUUUUCUGAGUAAACCUGCCUGUCGCGUUUCGCAGGAAUGGCGGUGUGAUGUUUUCUCUUCGCUCGCCCGAGUUGAACCUUAAUAAGAACAACGAUGAAAACAGCGCUGCAGUGAAAUGCUCUGAUCUUAGUUUAAUACUGCAUGGCCAUGUUGGUGAGUCUCGCUGAAGUUUUAUAAUCUGCUAAAGUUUUUGUUGACCUUUCUGUGUGGAUUUUUCCUUUGAAGUGAUUAAAGCUCAAAAUGAUGCAGCAGGUUAAUGCUUUAAACGAUUAUUUCUUAACAAUCCGUCAAUUAACGAUUAUAUUUAUUUAAACCCUUUUAAAAAGUGAAAGUGUUUAGUUUUUUUUAGAAAUGCAAAAAAAUAAAAUAAAUCAAGCGUUAAUGAGGUAUUGCUCCAGAUGAGUUAUUGUGGAGGAAACAGAAAUCGCAGCACUGCUUGUUUUUUGUUUGUCUGUUUGUUUUUUUGGAAGAAUUACAAAGAAAAAAAAGUUGAGGCUAGAUGUCUGGCGUGGUAUUAGACACGAGACACUGAUUAGCAUCAUGUUUUUCUUCUGUCUCUGGUCUGUGGCUCCCGUGUAGUGAGCACAUGCUUCCGGACAUGAAGCCAUUUUGAAUUUUAUUCUCAGAAAGUACAAAAAUACUCCUCGCUCGCUCGCUCUGGAGAAAUCGAUCCGGAUGAAUGUGUGUGGUGCAGAAAAUGGAGUGUAAAAAGGUUGGAUAGCGCUAUUUCGGUCCCUUUCAUUAUAAACACACACACACACAUACACUUGGAGUGACAUCAUCAAUCUUAUGACGUCACAGCUGACUGUAAGCCUGCAGUAUGGCAUUAACGUGGGAGUUGCCGUAAACAUAAACAUAAACAUAAUCCUGUCUGAUUACGGGCUUUACACACUGCUGAGUAAGAGUGUGUGUAUG
ensembl:lncRNA